AGGGCAGGACCUAUCCCGGAAGCGGAAGGAGACGCGGGCCGAGAGCCCAACGGGGUUGCAAAGUGGUGGGCUGGCUGGGGGACUUGGAGCCGAAGUUCUAAAAGAAUUGGUGGGCGCGGGUGAGCCACCAUGGAGCUCGCAGGCCACUCCUCGACAUCGCGCUGCACCGGCGCCCGCAACCAGAUUCCUGAUAGGCAGACACCGAGGGUGAAAGGUCAAGUUGUGAAAAGCUAAAUCCUUUCUGCAAACCGGGGAGCAGACUCCCGUGGCUGGUUCUCUGGAGCACGUCCUGGGAACUGCCGCUACGUGCUCUGUGCGAUAUGAUGCCAUCUGCAACUUGCUACAAAAUAACCCACUUGGGUGUCUAUUGGAGAAAGUGGAACAGGAAACAAUGUUGAUCUGAUGCUGUUCUGUGACUCAAACUACCUCCGUCACAAGCUGGUGCAAGAGGUGGCAACUAUACCCCCCAGAGGGCCUGUAAGAGCACGGCCCCAGUCUCACACAGUCUCCCUGAGUACAAGAAGUCAGUGCAGCUUGAUCCUCCUUUUCAGCUCUGGAAGGUGCAGCCUCCUGGGCCCUGCUCUGCCUUUCCUGGUCCCACAGCCAGACUGGAGCAAGGGGAACCUCCUUCGGGCAGAUGCUAUGCCAGCACUCUGCCUCGCAAAGGCAUCAUCCUCCGCCAGGAGCCCGUGGAAGCCUCAGAGCCACAGGAGCAAAGUCUCUCUUAGAGGAAGAACGACACUGGGGUGCAGGGUAUCCAAUGUGCGGCCGACAAGGUCACCACUUGUAAAAGCACAAUAUCACUUCCUCAUCAGUGGGGCCCAUCUGUUCCCCAGAGGCAUCCUCAGUUGAAGCAUGCCCACCAUCGGAGUGGCCUGACUGUCCACAAAGAACCCACGGCCAGAGCAUGCAACUGCAGCUGUAACUCAGCCCAGGGGAUGGAAACUCCUGUCGGGGCCCAGGCACCAGGCAGAGCAUAGCCUGUGCCCUAUAAGCAGAACAAGAAGAGGAGGCCCAAGACCCAGGGCGCAAGUAUGAGUGGAGUGGCUGCCAUCCAUAAGACCUCUUCAAAAGAGGCUUGCAGACAAGGAGAGGCAGCACUCCUCUCCACAGCUCCAAGGUUUAUAUCUCAGCAGCUCUUCCCAACAAAACUAUUGUUGGUAUUUUGUGGUAUAAAUGUGGACCGUUUCUAUCUGGAUGAGACAUAGGUCAAAAGUCCUGUCCUAGGAUGUGAGAAAGGGAGGCCUCCACAUCUGUUCCUGUCUGCUCAAGAUCCCAAGACUGUAAAGGUAGACGGCGUCACGACCUGGAUCCAUCACACUCACGUGCGGUCAGCGGAUCCAUCCAUGACCCGGAAAGACUUCAUCACCAAAUGAAGCAUCGAUCGAGAUCAACGCAACCCGCUCAAGCUCAAGCUACGGCGUGCUCGACCUGCCUGAUGCCGGUAACAUGGCUCGCGAUCGCUCCUGUCACCAGGAGCCCCCACAAUACUGUGUAAUACACUUAGAUAAUGCCUGCAUCUUCAUGGACAAGGCUCCAAAGAGACAAGGACAAUUUAUGGGGUCACAUGUUUUUCAUUAUAUUGAUAUGUUAUAUUAACCUUUGAUUCUUUUGCAGGUUUUGAAUGUAUGUUGGCUGUCCUGGAAGGGAGCUGUGUGGGGUGACCCCCAAAAGUAAAGGGUGUCUAGCUGGCAAGGGGGCAGGUGCCCAACUGGGCAGGAAAGGGUGCCCAUCAGGUUUUGGACUCUGUUGAGAGACAGCUAACAGUUGGCAGCUUGUAUACUGCCUUGCAGGCCUGAGUCACCAUGCCCAUGUCAGGGGUAGUAAAGCUGGAAAAAAAAAAAGCCUGUUUAGAAUAGAAAGUCUGGGGCAUAGUUAUGCAUAGGUAGAAGGUUUUAUGCCAACAGUUACUGUUUUGUUUCAAAUCCAUGAAAAGGAAGUAGCAAGGAAAGUCAGAAAAUCUUAGAGUAGAUCAGUAUGUUUUUCUCCUUAUGUAAUUCCUCCGAAAUCUGGCAAUGCUAAAUAAGUACGUUUCUUUGCAUAGAUCCAAUGAGAUUGGUUCCUAAUAAUGGUUUUAUUAACGGAAAACUUUGACUGGAGUAUCAUGUUUUAAAGAGCCCUGUCUGAGCUCUAAAGACUUGAAGCCACUAAGAAUGCCACGAAGAAAGCCUGGUAUCCUGCUUGGGAGCCCUGAAGAUGGCUGGCGCUGGAGCGUCAGGCCCAUGCCCUACCAUCACUGGCGGUUGGUAAGAGUAGAAGGGGAGCAGUAAAGAUGCCUCUGCAUCCCUGCGGAACCCCCACACACUCUGGGCCGCAACGAGUAGGAGGGCUACUGAGAUGGGCCUUAAAGCCUGGAGCGUGGGCUCAGGUGGAGUUGCUACAGGUGAGGGAUUCACCUAACUCAGCAGAUACUGCAGGCAGGCCUGAUGGCAUCUGGAUGGCUUGGCUUCCUGGCCCUACGGGGCACAUUAAGGUUCAACAAUUCCAGCAAAGGUAAUCAGUUACCAUUCUUGUUGUGUUUAUGCAAACAUCAGGAAUCUUGAUUUGGUUUUUUAUGAUAACCAUGGAGGAAUUCUAAGAAGAAAGAUCCCAUUUCAAUAGAAGUUAUUAAAUCUAAAAUGGUUUCUUUCACUUCCACCGGACCAUUUGUUAGCCUUAUAGGGAUAGUUCAGUUGAUAGUUUUGGUGGAAUAGAAUUGCAGUCCGUCUCAUGAUUGAGCCGGAAGUUCCAAGACAAGGGGGGAAUGCUGAACACAAGGGAGGAGUCUGACCGCCCGGCUCUGAGAUCCCUCCGCGCCCGCAGUAGGGCCUGGCCUCCCCGGAGCGGGUCCGAGUCUCUGGACCGGCUGCGUGGUGGCCGGCGGCGGGCCGAGGGGUGGGGGCCUGGCGGCGACCGACCACGGGGGAGGUCAUGGGAGCGGAAGGCCUCACCGCCUCGCUCUUCCCUCCCUUCCCCCGUGGUCGGCUCCCCGCUUGCCCGCGCUGGGGCCGAGGGUCCGUGCAGCCCUCGGGGCCCGGUCGGGGGGACCGGGGCCUGCGUGGGCCGGCCGCCGGGCCCCAUGUGGGGGGCAUUGGCUCCCCGGCCCACAGCGGGAGCCCAGCGCGGGCUGCCCGCCCCCGGAUCGGGCCCAGUGCAGCAGCGGCGGCAGCGGAGUGGGGCGCGUGCCCUGGCUCGGGGAGGCCGCCAUGCUGCAGUGCGCCGGCCCCAUGGGCCGGGCCUGCUCCGAGCGGAUGCCGCUCCCCCAGAGCUGGGCCGCUCCACCGGCCGCACCCCGUUUGCUGGGCCUGUGCCGCCCAGAUGCGCUGGAGUCCCGGUCUGCCCGCAGGCCAGCUGCGGGUGCUGUGCGGGAGGGCCAUCCUGCCUUGUGGCGAGUUCGAGCGGCAGCAGCAGGAGCCGGACAAGGACUGCGCCCUCCAUCUUGCCUUGGGUCCUCCAUCUUGGGACAGAACCAUGUGCGCCCUCCAUCUUGCCUUGGGUCCUCCAUUUUGGGAUGGGGCCAUGUGCUUCCUCACGGGAAGAAGCCGCUGCUAGCCACACCCAGGAUUUCUCUGGAUUAACCAAUGGUGAUCAAGGGAAGUGCACGCCAUCACUAUGACCACAUCCUGUACCGACUCGCGCCUGGCCAAUCGGCAGGGCCCACAGUGCCCUCUCCUGCCCUCACUCCACCCCCCUUU